AUUGAACGCUGGCGGCAGGCCUUACACGUGCAAGUCGAACGAGUGGCGGACGGGUGAGUAAUGUCUGGGAAACUGCCUGAUGGAGGGGGAUCACUCCUGGAAACGGUAGCUAAUACCGCAUACCAUACGAUGUGUCCCGCUGGGAUGAGCUACUUGGUGGGGUAACGGCUCACCAAGGCGACGAUCCCUACCUGGUCUGAGAGGAUGACCAGCCACACUGGAACUGAGACACGGUCCAGACUCCUACGUGAGGCAGCAGUGGGGAAUAUUGCACAAUGGGCGCAAGCCUGAUGCAGCCAUGCCGCGUGUAUGAAGAAGGCCUUCGGGUUGUAAAGUACUUUCAGCGGGGAGGCGUUACCCGCAGAAGAAGCACCGGCUAACUCCGUGCCAGCAGCCGCGGUAAUAC
rnacentral:rRNA from 1 species